rnacentral:rRNA from 1 species
AAUUACUAGAACUAGCCCUAUUCCCCUACACUAAACCACAAUCCCCAUUAAACCAAAACAUUUACCAUAACCCAUAUAAGUAUAGGCGAUAGAAAAUAUGCUUAGGCGCUAUAGAAGCAGUACCGUAAGGAAAGAUGAAAGAAAUACUUAAAGUAUAUUAAAGCAAAGAUUAAAACUUCUACCUUUUGCAUAAUGGUUUAACCAGAACAACUUUACAAAGAGAACUAUAGCUAAUAACCCCGAAACCAGACGAGCUACCUAUGGAUAGUAUACGAACUAACUCAUCUAUGUGGCAAAAUAGUGAGAAGAUCUGUAGGUAGAGGUGAAAGGCCUACCGAGCCUGGUGAUAGCUGGUUGUCCAGAACAGAAUCUAAGUUCAGCUUUAAAUCUACCUAAAGAACUAAUAAUCCAAAUGUAGAUUUAAUUGCUAGUUCAAAGGGGUACAGCCCAUUGAACAAAGGAUACAACCUUUAAUAGAGAGUAACCAAACACCACACCCAUAGUUGGCCUAAAAGCAGCCAUCAAUUAAGAAAGCGUUAAAGCUCAACACUGCUUACUGUCUUAAAUACCAAACCUCUCAAACACCUCCUAUUAAAUACACUGGACUAAUCUAUUUAUGAAUAGAAGAGACAAUGUUAAUAUGAGUAACAAGAAUAAUAUUCUCCCUGCACAGACCUAUAUCAGAUCGGAUGCCCACUGAUAGUUAAUCAACAGGUAUGACAACCCAUAAUAAAUAAUCAUACCAACCAAAAUGUUAGCCCAACACAGGUGUGCAACUAUAAAGGAAAGAUUAUAAUAAGUAAAAGGAACUCGGCAAAAACAAACCCCGCCUGUUUACCAAAAACAUCACCUCUAGCAUAAAUAGUAUUAGAGGCAAUGCCUGCCCAGUGACCAACGUUAAACGGCCGCGGUAUCCUGACCGUGCAAAGGUAGCAUAAUCACUUGUUCCUUAAUUGAGGACUUGAAUGAAUGGCCACACGAGGGUUUAACUGUCUCUUACUUAUAAUCAGUGAAAUUGACCUCUUCGUGAGGAGGCGAAGAUACCUAAAUAAGACGAGAAGACCCUAUGGAGCUUAAAUUUCAUACCCAAGUCUCACACAUCACCCAAUUAAGGACCACAACAUCCCUGACACCUGGGUAGACAAUUUUGGUUGGGGUGACCUCGGAGUAUAAACCAACCUCCGAAUAUCUAGUACCUAGACCUAACCAGUCAAAGAAAUCUCACACAACAGUAUUCUAUAACCUAUUGACCCAAAAAAUUUUGAUCAACGGAACAAGUUACCCUAGGGAUAACAGCGCAAUCCUGUUCUAGAGUCCAUAUCGACAACAGGGUUUACGACCUCGAUGUUGGAUCAGGACAUCCCAAUGGUGUAACCGCUAUUAAUGGUUCGUUUGUUCAACGAUUAAAGUCCUACGUGAUCUGAGUUCAGACCGGAGAAAUCCAGGUCGGUUUCUAUCUAUUACAAUUUCUCCCAGUACGAAAGGACAAGAGAAAAUGGAGCCCAUUAUCCAACAAAGCUCCUAGUCCAAUAGAUGAUAUUAUCUUAAUCUAAUAUCCUACCCACUACCCUGCCCAAGAACAGGGUUU